CUAACGUUGGCUGCAAUUUAAUGCCACAACCUUUACACAUUGUGUUUUUUGUUGUUUUUUUGCCUCUCAGACAAUCGCUACGUCUAAAUAGACAAAAGGUUUUUUAAGACAGUUAAGGCGGAAUAGAAUAUCCGAAUUUUUUCAAAUUCAGAUCGUUCCUUUGAACGUAAAAUAUCACUUAAAAGAAAUUUCUUACGUAUUAGAUUACCAAAUCACUUCAGUUUGAAAAAAAAAUGGCGAAAAGCCGGAUUUUAAUAUUUGGUUGCCUAAUGAUUUUCUUCUGCUGCGGUGCUGUCCGAUCGUCUUCAAUCAAUGUCAACCAGUAUUCAUGUAAAAGUCAAGAUAAAGAGCGACUUGAGGAGUGUACAUUUGGAUGCUGUGAAGAUAGUGGAAUUUCUAGAUGUUGUACAUUUUCACAGGAUGUCACUCCUUCCCUGAUAGCUUUUGGAGUAAUCUGUUUAGCUGUUUUAAGUAUAAGUCUUAUCAUUGCUGUAUCUGGAGGCGAAAAGGACAAAGGGAGCUCUAGCAAACAAAAUGGUGGCCAUGGUUGUUGCCAUUGUCACGACUGUUUAAAGGAUAAUUCUUGUUUUAAAUGAUGAAGAAAAUUGUCGCAAAUAUAUAAACAACAAUUAGGCACCUAGUUGACAAACUGAGUUUGUAUUAAUUCACAAUAGUCAGCAUAACAUUUUGUCAUGUUAUUUCAGAGAAGUUAAGUGUUGAAAGUGUUUUUUUAUCUGAUAAGAUUUCUGUAUUUCUAUUAAAUCGUAACAAUUUUAA